GCUUGCAGCCAGGAGCUCUUCUCAAGCCAGGAGGAAGGUAGCUAGUCGCAGCAGCCGGUACUUGGUGAAGGACAAGCAGAGGAGCGGGUUCCCGCAACCUUGAGUUCUCAGCUGCCCGUGUUAUCAACACCUCAAAGACUCCAAAACCUCCGAAAGAAGCCGCGAAAAAGCAAAGACGACCUGCUGCAAGCAGUUAUGGAUCACUCUGCCAGAGAGAAUCAAAAAGUGCAGGACUGGAGGGAAAGGGAAAGCAGGGUCCGCCAGAAAAACGCAGCGGCCAGGAAGAAAAGCACAGAGCAUCUGAUAAGCAUCCUGGCAUGCCAAGCGGACUCUAUCCAAGCGCUCAUAGCCAUGCAGGCAGAGCACUACCGCGCCGGCCCUCCCCCCCAUCCCAAAGCUCUUUCCCUUGUGCCUCAAUGUCAGCUCAAAACCCCCUUCCCCAGCAUUCAGGUUCUUACCACCACCAGUUGCCUCCAACACCUGUACGUUCACCAACCAGCCCUGAGAACUACGACCCUUACCCACUGCACUCAACCCCCAUCACCAUGCAGUAUAGGCAUCCUGAAGUGCAGCAGUCAUUGCACAGCACUCCAGACAGGACAUAUUCAAACCUGUGACUGUACAGUUCCCCACCACACCCCCCUGCCCUUUUAGGUUCCCAAAAUGUUGUGUGUCUGUCAAUAAAGUUAUUUUCUUUUCAAUAAAUGAA